rnacentral:lncRNA from 1 species
GGGGUUUCUGUUCUGCUCUCCUCUGCCCAGCUGGGCUGGGGUGCUGGCACAGCAGUGCCCAGGGGUUUCUGUUCUGCUCUCCUCUGCCCAGCUGGGCUGGGGUGCUGGCACAGCAGUGCCCAGGGGUUUCUGUUCUGCUCUCCUCUGCCCAGCUGGGCUGGGGUGCUGGCACAGCAGUGCCCAGGGGUUUCUGUUCUGCUCUCCUCUGCCCAGCUGGGCUGGGGUGCUGGCACAGCAGUGCCCAGGGGUUUCUGUUCUGCUCUCCUCUGCCCAGCUGGGCUGGGGUGCUGGCACAGCAGUGCCCAGGGGUUUCUGUUCUGCUCUCCUCUGCCCAGCUGGGCUGGGGUGCUGGCACAGCAGUGCCCAGGGGUUUCUGUUCUGCUCUCCUCUGCCCAGCUGGGCUGGGGUGCUGGCACAGCAGUGCCCAGGGGUUUCUGUUCUGCUCUCCUCUGCCCAGCUGGGCUGGGGUGCUGGCACAGCAGUGCCCAGGGGUUUCUGUUCUGCUCUCCUCUGCCCAGCUGGGCUGGGGUGCUGGCACAGCAGUGCCCAGGGGUUUCUGUUCUGCUCUCCUCUGCCCAGCUGGGCUGGGGUGCUGGCACAGCAGUGCCCAGGGGUUUCUGUUCUGCUCUCCUCUGCCCAGCUGGGCUGGGGUGCUGGCACAGCAGUGCCCAGGGGUUUCUGUUCUGCUCUCCUCUGCCCAGCUGGGCUGGGGUGCUGGCACAGCAGUGCCCAGGGGUUUCUGUUCUGCUCUCCUCUGCCCAGCUGGGCUGGGGUGCUGGCACAGCAGUGCCCAGGGGUUUCUGUUCUGCUCUCCUCUGCCCAGCUGGGCUGGGGUGCUGGCACAGCAGUGCCCAGGGGUUUCUGUUCUGCUCUCCUCUGCCCAGCUGGGCUGGGGUGCUGGCACAGCAGUGCCCAGGGGUUUCUGUUCUGCUCUCCUCUGCCCAGCUGGGCUGGGGUGCUGGCACAGCAGUGCCCAGGGGUUUCUGUUCUGCUCUCCUCUGCCCAGCUGGGCUGGGGUGCUGGCACAGCAGUGCCCAGGGGUUUCUGUUCUGCUCUCCUCUGCCCAGCUGGGCUGGGGUGCUGGCACAGCAGUGCCCAGGGGUUUCUGUUCUGCUCUCCUCUGCCCAGCUGGGCUGGGGUGCUGGCACAGCAGUGCCCAGGGGUUUCUGUUCUGCUCUCCUCUGCCCAGCUGGGCUGGGGUGCUGGCACAGCAGUGCCCAGGGGUUUCUGUUCUGCUCUCGCUCACUCUGGCUCCAGCUGGGCCGUGCCCCGUGCCCCGUGCCCUGUGCCAGGGGGUGUGGGCAGCUGCUGAGGGCACGUCCCAGCCUGUCCUGCUCUUGGGGAGCUGCUGGCAGUGGGAUUAGUGCUGGGCCCUGUCCUGGCCUGUCGCUGUGGAGGGACCUGCUGCUCCCUGGCUCAAGCCCUGACUCACUG